GAUGAACGCUGGCGGCGUGCCUAACACAUGCAAGUCGAGCGAUCUCUUCGGAGAGAGCGGCGGACGGGUGGGUAACGCGCGGGUAACCUGCCCUGUACACACGGAUAACAUACCGAAAGGUAUGCUAAUACGGGAUAAUAUAUAAAAGUCGCAUGGCUUUUAUAUCAAAGCUUUUGAGGUACAGGAUGGACCCGCGUCUGAUUAGCUAGUUGGUAAGGUAACGGCUUACCAAGGCGACGAUCAGUAGCCGACCUGAGAGGGUGAUCGGCCACACUGGAACUGAGACACGGUCCAGACUCCUACGGGAGGCAGCAGUGGGGAAUAUUGCACAAUGGGCGAAAGCCUGAUGCAGCAACGCCGCGUGAGCGAUGAAGGCCUUCGGGUCGUAAAGCUCUGUCCUCAAGGAAGAUUAUGACGGUACUUGAGGAGGAAGCCCCGGCUAACUACGUGCCAGCAGCCGCCGCUG
rnacentral:rRNA from 1 species